GUAAUACAGCACAGCCGAUCCUUCGCUCAACCCAACCUCUGCCAUGAAGGUUUGCCGGGACACUCCAUACACAUUAGAUGGUCGCAGACAUUCCUCUAAUAUGUACUGGCAGCUUAACUUUUAAAGCCUGGUUUGGGAAUCUUCUGGUUGUAUCCAAGCCUGCCGGAAAAUCAGCAAGUCAGAAUAAAUGAGCAAUAAUAAUCCAGGUGUGAUGGCGGCGUGGACCGCCAGCUGCAGUGCACGCACCCAGGAUCACAUGCUCUGCUCUUUGAUCUCUUUUUUUGUGAUAAAAUAUCCCGGGCCACAUGUGCUGCUGAAGACACCUGCUCCACAAGCCCAUAAAAUCUGUGCGGCUAUUGUUGUGCGGCUUCAAAGAACCACGCAGAUAAGGUUUGCCCAGUUUGAACAUGUCUGGGUGCAGAACUAAGAGGAAGGAGGAAAUACCUGAUGAUUCACAGUGGCUCAUGGGAUACAUGCUGUCUAAAUAAAGCUUGGGAACCACAACUCCCAGCAUGUCCGCACAGACACUACUGUGUAUCCAGGGAUGCAGACUUCUUCAUGCCGUGAGUUUGGCCUCUUGCCCACAAACGUAUUUUCUUUCCGUGUCCGUUCCGUUUUUUUGCUUCAAUGGGUCCGCAAAAGAAAGUGAAGUUACUCCGUUUGCAUUCCGUUUUCGUAUUUCCGUUCCGCAAAAAAAUGGAACA